GACGAACGCUGGCGGCGUGCUUAACACAUGCAAGUCGAACGCUGAAGCACCAGCUUGCUGGUGUGGAUGAGUGGCGAACGGGUGAGUAAUACGUGAGUAACCUGCCCUUGACUCUGGGAUAAGCCCGGGAAACUGGGGCUAAUACUGGAUGCUACAUGUCACCGCAUGGUGGUGUGUGGAAAGGGUUUACUGGUCUUGGAUGGGCUUACGGCCUAUCAGCUUGUUGGUGGGGUAAUGGCUCACCAAGGCGACGACGGGUAGCCGGCCCGGGAGGGUGACCGGCCACCCUGGGACUGAGAAAAGGGCCAGACGCCGACGGGGGGGCGCAGGGGGGAAUAUUGGAACAUGGGCGAGAGGCUGAUGGAGGGACGCCGGGUGGGGGAAGACGGGCUUUGGGUUGUAAACCCGUUUCAGCAGGGAAGAAGCCACAAGUGACGGUACCUGCAGAAGAAGCGCCGGCUAACUACGUG
rnacentral:rRNA from 1 species